UCGUUAUUUGUAGAGUGAAAGCUGAUUGUCUAUUUGUGAUCGUAGUUUUACCACGGUAUUCCGUCAGUCAGCAUACGGCCCUACAAAUAACGAUCGCAUUGUAGUAAUAAUAAGGUCGAUUUUUGUUAGAAUAAAAAGUCAUGAUUGACGAAUGUUGGAUAGAUGUAAUAAUUAUCUCUCUAUUUAAUUUGUUCAUGGUGGCUACUCGAAGCGUGCAUAUCUUUGUGUGGAAGUAAAAAACCCAAGGAUUAUACGUAUGCUCAACUUGGACAAAAUCGAAGAUGGUGAGUUAUUUACUUAUAAAUAGACUAGCUAGAUUUUAGGUACCUAUUACCUUACCUACUUAGUAUAUUACUAUUUAUUAGACUAUUAAUAUUAUUACCUACCUACCUGACGACCUACUUGACGUAAGUUGGUUUGGUUAAUGCGUGAUGAUGAUUGCACUGCUCUGUACUAAUUAUUAAAGUAAACUAAGCAUGCCUAUGUGCCUAUUCGGUGCUUUUAAUCUAUAAACUAACUACCUAUUUAAAUUGGGGUGUGCCGUUUUUGUACAUUCGCUAUCACCUGGCAUAGCACCUGGUAUAUGAAUAAAAUAAAGAUAUUUGAACAAAAAACUGUUACGUGAUCAACUGUAGUAUUUCGGCUUGGUUGUGAAUUAUCUACCUAGGUAUAUAAGUUAACUUUUGCAAAAACACCCUUGAUUUUGUUGUUAUUUGUGCGCUUGAGUUUGAUACACAUUUUAUUAUUAACGCAUUGGUACUAACCUUCUAUUUAAUACCUAAAUAACGAUAAAAUAUCUAGGUUUGUGUCUAAUUUUUAGGGUGAUUUGGUAAUGGGUCCUUUUUAUUGCUUAACGUCUAUUAUGUACCUACCUACAAACAAUGUAUUUAAACCAUUAUGUUCCAAUUAACAGAUUCCACUAAUACUGCAUCCCAAUCCAGUACAACCCAGUGGAAGAAUGACCAGAAAUGCAAAAAUAUUUCAAGAAACUAUGGGAUAUCUUCUCGUCGUAGUCAACAUGAGACACAUUCUCUUGAAGGUUCUACCGAAAAGCAAAGAGGGGGUGAUCGGAAAGGAGCAAAAUGUUCAAGAAAACACUUAAUGACUAACUGUAAUAACUGAAAAUGAAGGUUUUUCUAAUAAAGGCAAGUGCCAUACCGUAUUAAUAUAUUUUGUGAUUAUGCAUGUAUUAAUUAAUAAACGUUUUAAAAUUAAAA